AAUUUAAACACUUUUAUUCUGCUGUAUCAAGACUAUCAGCGGACGACUUACUUUUGUUACGGAAAGCUACGAAAUACAGUCAAACUGAACUAUGAAUCUAUCUAGCCAGCGUGAUUCAGGGGAUAGUGAUAAUCGUGAGUACGGGAGUCCAUGAUCCAGAGUUCCACCAGUCCGGAGAAUAUACGUAUCCAGGGCCAUGAUCUUAUACAGCUCUUCAAUUCACGGCAUGUGAACUGUCAAAACUGAACCUUGUGUACACUCCAGCGCCAAGACUAUGUACUAGACACUACCCUUAAAGCGGAAAAAAAGAUCCCUGCUGAUUUCUCCCGCACGGACUCCUACGAGUUAUAGCACGUGAUAUAGCCAUGUGAGGUAUUGGCCCUAAGAAGGGAUGGAGUAUCUAGGGCUAUAUUUUAGGCUAUAUUUCUCUUGGCGUCGUCUUUUGUUACUUGUAGCUUAAUCAAAUAAAUUGCUAGCUCUUCUGGAUUUUUGGGAACUCUUACAAAAUGGGAUCAUCUACCAGCACCAAAUGGGUACGCAUAUUGACAUGACACGAGACGAGAUCGUUAUCGUGUUGAUGGCUGUUACAGCACUAGACGGCGCAUACGGCACCAAACGGGAUUUUUUACCGCACAAGACGGUGCAUACGGCACCGAACGGGAUUUUUUACCUCACAAGACGGCGCAUACGGCACCAAACGGGAUUUUUUACCGCACAAGACGGUGCAUACGGCACCAAACGGGAUUUUUUACCGCACAAGACGGUCCAUACGACACCAAACGGGAUUUCUUACCGCAUAAGACGGUGCAUACGGCACCAAACGGGAUUUUUUACCGCACAAGACGGUCCAUACGACACCAAACGGGAUUUCUUACAGCACCAAACGGAUCAUUACCAACUACUCCACUAACCGCAGACUUACACCGCAUGGGAACCUUGGUGCCAGCGCGAGUGGGAGUUUAUACUAGCACGAGUUGGUAUCAGUCCGAGUUGGCGUCAGUUCGAGUUGGUGUCAUCUCGAGUUGGUGUCAGUCGAGUUGGUGUCAGUUCGAGUUGGUGUCAGUUCGAGUUGGUGUCAUCUCGAGUUAGUAUCAAUCGAGUUGGUGUCAAUCGAGUUGGUGUCAUUUCAAGUUGGUGUCAGUUCGAGUUGGUGUUAGUGGAGUUAGGAUCAGUCGAGUUGGUGUCAGUUCGAGUUGGUGUCAGUUCGAGUUGGUGUCAGUUCGAGUUGGUGUCAGUUCGAGUUGGUGUCAGUCGAGUUACUGUCAAUUUAAGUUGGGAGUUGGUAUCAAUCCGAGUAAGUAU
rnacentral:lncRNA from 1 species